GAGCUUACUUUGACAGCACAUAUACUAAAAUUGGAAUGAUACAAUGAAGAUUAGCAUGACCCCUGCACAAGAAUAACAUGCAAAAAAAUAAAAUAAAAUAAAACUAC